rnacentral:rRNA from 1 species
UACGUAGGGUGCGAGCGUUAAUCGGAAUUACUGGGCGUAAAGCGUGCGCAGGCGGUUUUGUAAGCCAGAUGUGAAAGCCCCGGGCUCAACCUGGGAAUGGCAUUUGGGACUGCAAGGCUGGAGUAUGGCAGAGGAGACUAGAAUUCCUGGUGUAGCAGUGAAAUGCGUAGAUAUCAGGAGGAAUACCGAUGGCGAAGGCAGGUCUCUGGGCCUUACCUGACGCUGAGGCGCGAAAGCUAGGGGAGCAAACAGG